rnacentral:rRNA from 1 species
UGGAUAACCUACCUAUAAGACUGGGAUAACUUCGGGAAACCGGAGCUAAUACCGGAUAAUAUUUUGAACCGCAUGGUUCAAAAGUGAAAGACGGUCUUGCUGUCACUUAUAGAUGGAUCCGCGCUGCAUUAGCUAGUUGGUAAGGUAACGGCUUACCAAGGCAACGAUGCAUAGCCGACCUGAGAGGGUGAUCGGCCACACUGGAACUGAGACACGGUCCAGACUCCUACGGGAGGCAGCAGUAGGGAAUCUUCCGCAAUGGGCGAAAGCCUGACGGAGCAACGCCGCGUGAGUGAUGAAGGUCUUCGGAUCGUAAAACUCUGUUAUUAGGGAAGAACAUAUGUGUAAGUAACUGUGCACAUCUUGACGGUACCUAAUCAGAAAGCCACGGCUAACUACGUGCCAGCAGCCGCGGUAAUACGUAGGUGGCAAGCGUUAUCCGGAAUUAUUGGGCGUAAAGCGCGCGUAGGCGGUUUUUUAAGUCUGAUGUGAAAGCCCACGGCUCAACCGUGGAGGGUCAUUGGAAACUGGAAAACUUGAGUGCAGAAGAGGAAAGUGGAAUUCCAUGUGUAGCGGUG